GAUGAACGCUGGCGGCGUGCCUAAUACAUGCAAGUCGAGCGAACAGACGAGGAGCUUGCUCCUCUGACGUUAGCGGCGGACGGGUGAGUAACACGUGGAUAACCUACCUAUAAGACUGGGAUAACUUCGGGAAACCGGAGCUAAUACCGGAUAAUAUAUUGAACCGCAUGGUUCAAUAGUGAAAGACGGUUUUGCUGUCACUUAUAGAUGGAUCCGCGCCGCAUUAGCUAGUUGGUAAGGUAAAGGCUUACCAAGGCAACGAUGCGUAGCCGACCUGAGAGGGUGAUCGGCCACACUGGAACUGAGACACGGUCCAGACUCCUACGGGAGGCAGCAGUAGGGAAUCUUCCGCAAUGGGAGAAAGCCUGACGGAGCAACGCCGCGUGAGUGAUGAAGGUCUUCGGAUCGUAAAACUCUGUUAUUAGGGAAGAACAAAUGUGUAAGUAACUAUGCACGUCUUGACGGUACCUAAUCAGAAAGCCACGGCUAACUACGUG
rnacentral:rRNA from 1 species